rnacentral:rRNA from 1 species
UACGUAGGAGGCAAGCGUUGUCCGGAAUUACUGGGCGUAAAGCGCGUGUAGGUGGUGGGACAAGUCUGCUGUGAAAGCGCCUGGCUUAACCGGGCGAGGUCGGCGGAAACUGUCCGACUCGAGGACGGUAGAGGGGGGUGGAAUUCCCGGUGUAGAGGUGAAAUUCGUAGAUAUCGAGAGGAACACCGGUGGCGAAGGCGGCCUUCUGGACAGCGACUGACGCUGAGACACGAAAGCGUGGGUAGCAAACAGG